rnacentral:rRNA from 1 species
CCUACGGGCGGCAGCAGUGGGGAAUAUUGCGCAAUGGGCGAAAGCCUGACGCAGCGACGCCGCGUGAGGGAUGAAGGUCUUCGGAUCGUAAACCUCUGUUAGCAGGGAAGAACGGUCACUGUGCUAAUCAGCAGUGAAUUGACGGUACCUGCAAAGGAAGCACCGGCUAACUCCGUGCCAGCAGCCGCGGUAAUACGGAGGGUGCGAGCGUUAAUCGGAAUUACUGGGCGUAAAGCGCUCGUAGGCGGUAUGUCAAGUCAAGGGUGAAAUCCCCGCGCUCAACGUGGGAACUGCCUUUGAAACUGGCAAACUGGAGUGUGUGAGAGGAUAGUGGAAUUCCAGGUGUAGGAGUGAAAUGCGUAGAUAUCUGGAGGAACAUCAGUGGCGAAGGCGACUAUCUGGCACAUAACUGACGCUGAGGAGCGAAAGCGUGGGUAGCAAACAGGAUUAGAUACCCGAGUAGUC